rnacentral:rRNA from 1 species
UACGUAGGGUGCAAGCGUUAAUCGGAAUUACUGGGCGUAAAGCGUGCGCAGGCGGUUUUGUAAGUCUGUCGUGAAAUCCCCGGGCUCAACCUGGGAAUUGCGAUGGAGACUGCAAGGCUAGAAUCUGGCAGAGGGGGGGUAGAAUUCCACGUGUAGCAGUGAAAUGCGUAGAGAUGUGGAGGAACACCGGAUGGCGAAGGCAGCCCUCGUC